UCCUGCUCAAUGGUACGCUAAAUAGCCGCAGUACCCUGACUGUGCAAAGGUAGCAUAAUCAGUUGGCCUAUAAUUGAGGUCUGGAAUGAAUGGAUUAUUGGGUGUGUUCUGUCUUAAAAGGUUAAUAUAAUUUACUUAUUAAGUGUAAAUACUUAAAUUUUAAAUAAUAGACGAUAAGACCCUAGAAAUUUUUUAUAAUAAAAUUGUAUCUAUUACUAUUUUGCUGGGGCGGCAGGAUAACACAUAAACUUAUUUAAAGAAAUAUAACGUAAACCAAAUAAAUAUAAUUACUCUAGGGAUAACAGCAUAAUUAAUAAUAGUUUGUGACCUCGAUGUUGGACUAAGGUUUAUAUUGUUCAGAAGACAAAUAUAUUCGCUCUGUUCGAGCAAUAAUCCUU
rnacentral:rRNA from 1 species